CGCAUCCUUCGGGAUGAGCGGCGGACGGGUGAGUAACGCGUGGGAAUGUGCCCUUCUCUACGGAAUAGCCACUGGAAACGGUGAGUAAUACCGUAUACGCCCUCAGGGGGAAAGAUUUAUCGGAGAAGGAUCAGCCCGCGUUAGAUUAGGUAGUUGGUGGGGUAACGGCCUACCAAGCCUACGAUCUAUAGCUGGUUUUAGAGGAUGAUCAGCAACACUGGGACUGAGACACGGCCCAGACUCCUACGGGAGGCAGCAGUGGGGAAUCUUGGACAAUGGGGGCAACCCUGAUCCAGCCAUGCCGCGUGAGUGAAGAAGGCCCUAGGGUCGUAAAACUCUUUCGCCUGUGAUGAUAAUGACAGUAGCAGGUAAAGAAACCCCGGCUAACUCCGUGCCAGCAGCCGCGGUAAUACGGAGGGGGUUAGCGUUGUUCGGAAUUACUGGGCGUAAAGCGCACGUAGGCGGAUUAGAAAGUUAGAGGUGAAAUCCCGGGGCUCAACCCCGGAACUGCCUUUAAAACUACUAGUCUAGAGUUCGAGAGAGGUGAGUGGAAUUCCGAGUGUAGAGGUGAAAUUCGUAGAUAUUCGGAGGAACACCAGUGGCGAAGGCGGCUCACUGGCUCGAUACUGACGCUGAGGUGCGAAAGUGUGGGGAGCAAACAAGGAUUAGA
rnacentral:rRNA from 1 species